rnacentral:tRNA from 1 species
GCCUUCGUGGUGUAAUGGUCAGCACACUCGGUGCGUAUUCCAGAGGUCUGAGGUUCGAGUCCCGGCGAGGGCA